UAAUAGUAACGAUCCGUGUGAGUCCAGAUGCAGAGUUCGGAGUCGAGUGAAGUUCGGGUUAGUUCGCAGUGAAGUCGGAAGGUGUCGGCUGGUUCGUUCACAAGGAAUAUUGAAUGUUGGAGAAAAUGUGAUGAAACGGAAACAGGAUAUAAGUAGAAAAAGGAUUGUUUCUUGUAGAAUUAUCUCCAGAAGAGAGAAUCUUUUUACGAUAAAAUUUAACCAAGGAAAAAAAUUAUGUAAUAGGCAAAAGAUAACGAAGAUGAAAUCCAGCAAAACAUACUCAUUUGCCAUGCGCUACUACCUUAACUAAGGAAUGAUUUUUGUUCGAUUUAGUGAAACUAAUUUCUUCUUCAAGAAGAAUUCAAAUAAUUGGAGAUGAAAGACAACAUGUGUACAUAACAUUCACCUAUGAUAAAUGGCAUGAAGAGGCGUGGUUGAGUGUUUGGGGUUAUUCCUUUAGUUGGUACCCCAGGUUCAUUUUCCAAAGUACCAAGGUCAGGGGUAUCAUACAGAGAACGAAAAGCAACGGAAAUAGACUGUCACCCUGGAAAAUCCCUUUUCUGAUACCCAGGAUUCCCAUUAUUAUUAUUAUUAUUAUUAUUAUUAUUAUUAUUAUUAUUAUUAUUAUUAUUAUUAUUAUUAUUGUUAUUAUUAUUUUAAACAAAAGUAGCAAAUAUAAGAAAUCUGACCUGAACUGAAUUUCACCUCAAAUCAACUCAGCAUUUCAUAGUUCCCAGUUUUGGAGCAAACCUCACUAAAGUUUUGUGGAGGCUGAUUCUUUGAAAGGUAUAGAGUCCCAGUAAAUAGGCAACUCUUGAUAGAUCUCAUUUAAGAUCGCUAGAUUCUGCCAAUGCUAAAUGCCCACCGUCCAAUAAAGAGAAACAUUUUCCCGAUACUGAAAACAAAAUUAAUAAGAUGCCACCAAACAAAGAAAAAUAUCAAACUGGCAGUCAUGAUAAAAACAAACAAAAAAACAACUUCUAAUUUGUGAACUUGUUGAAAGAUUUUGAAGAUGGCUCCACGAUUAAUCGUAUAAGGUGUAAUCAUUGUGGAAUCGUACGUUACAGAUUUAUGUCAGUAAGUUUCCCAUGUUAGGCUGCAGAAAGCCUAUAGGCAUACAGGAGGAGAGAAAGAAACUCCAACAGCUUUGAACUUUACUUCUAAAAGAGCGACAAAGUUAAUCUUAACCGUUUCGUCCUAUAUCUUGAGUUUGCUUCUUUUUUUUUAAUGAUAAUACUUAUUAUCAGUUUAUCAUAAUACGAAAAUCUAUUAGUGGCACAUAUUGGUAAUCUAUUAGUGGCAUAUAUUGACAAAGAGAAGAUUGAACAAUUAUUGCUUAUAGUAAUAGAAGUUAUCAAGAAAUUCAUCGACUCAGACAUGACAGUGUGGUUAAUAAACAUCAACUGUUGUUCCUCUAUUCGAAGAGGUUGGAAGCUAGUUACUUUUUAUUCUAAAACGUUCGUAAUGAGACGGAGCAGAGCAAGUUCAAGAACAGGCUCCACUUGUCUGGAAGUACUUGCUGUUGCAGUUAAAGCUAGAAUUUCCGCACUUACAUUACAUUCAAACAGGGUGCCUUACUUCCAGGCUACUUUUCUUUCAUAUGCUUGCCUGAUAUUGAAUUUAAAAUACUCACCACCCCGAUAAAAUUCUUAGUUAACUUUAACCAACAGAGAGUUAAUCUCGAUAAUAAUCACAUCACAAUAAAUGUUUUGUGUUAUUAACAGCAAGAGACAAAUCCUGAAGAUUGGACGCUCAACUAAUCAGUCAAAUGCUUUCAAUACACAAAGAGUUUAAAGUUGCUUAGAGAAAUUAUAUCUCAUGAUAGUUUGGAAACAACACGCAAUUUGGUGAGUCUGUCUAUUUCUACGAAAAUAUCCAAUCCAUCACUGACCUUGGCACACAAAAGCACUUCUAUAUUUAUUGUUGUUUCUAUAGUAACAGAACAAAAUUCUUGUUUCUUAUCAUAAUUAAAUAAAAACUAACAAAUACA